UCAGACGAUGCGUCAUGCAUAUCAAUAAGCGGAGGAAAAGAAACUAACAAGGAUUCCCCUAGUAACGGCGAGUGAAGCGGGAAGAGCUCAAAUUUGAAAUCUUAAAGGGUUUCCCUUUACGAAUUGUAGUUUAAAGAAGUGUUUUCUGUUGAGGUUUUGGUAAAAGUUCUUUGGAAUAGGACAUCAUAGAGGGUGAGAAUCCCGUAUUUGACCUUUACUUUCAACUUUGUGAUACACUUUCAAAGAGUCGGAUUGUUUGGGAAUGCAGUCCAAAAUGGGUGGUAAAUUUCAUCUAAAGCUAAAUAUUGGCGAGAGACCGAUAGCGAACAAGUACCGUGAGGGAAAGAUGAAAAGAACUUUGAAAAGAGAGUUAAACAGUACGUGAAAUUGUCAAAAGGGAAGCGUUUGACACCAGUGUUGUUUUUCUGAAAAUCAAUUAAAGAACUGUUUAUGCUAAGCUGUUUAGACUUUAUCAGCUAUCUGUUUAGUUUUGAGCUUUUCUUUAAUGCACUUUUCAGUUAACAAGUCAACAUCAAUUUCUUUUGCUGUAAAAAAGCUUGAGGAAGGUGGCUUGAGAUUCGUCUUAAGUGUUUAUAGCCUCUUGCCUAUGCAGUCGGAGAGAUUGAGGUCUGCAGCGUAGAUCCUUCGGGGCUAAGUGCAUUUGUGCUAAGUUAUAGCAUUUUAUAGACAACUUGUUGACUAUGAUUUGUCUUGUAGCUUACUCGCUUAUGUUAUUUUACCUACGCUUAGGAUGUUGACACACGCGCGUGCUCG
rnacentral:rRNA from 1 species